rnacentral:rRNA from 1 species
CGAGUCAUUGUAGCAAUACAAGGCAGACGGCUCAGUAACGCGUAGUCAAUCUACCCUAUGGACGGGGAUAACCUCGGGAAACUGAGAAUAAUACCCGAUAGAACAUUAUGCCUGGAAUGGUUUAUGUUUCAAAUGAUUUAUCGCCAUAGGAUGGGACUGCGGCCUAUCAGUUUGUUGGUGAGGUAAUGGCCCACCAAGACUAUUACAGGUACGGGCUCUGAGAGGAGAAGCCCGGAGAUGGGCACUGAGACAAGGGCCCAGGCCCUAUGGGGCGCAGCAGGCGCGAAAACUCUGCAAUAGGCGAAAGCUUGACAGGGUUAUUCUGAGUGAUCUCCGUUAAGGAAAUCUUUUGGCACCUCUAAAAAUGGUGCAGAAUAAGGGGUGGGCAAGCCUGGUGUCAGCCGCCGCGGUAAUACCAGCACCCCGAGUGGUCGGGACGAUUAUUGGGCCUAAAGCAUCCGUAGCCGGUUUUACAAGUCCUCCGUUAAAUCCAACUGCUUAACAGAUGGGCCGCGGAGGAUACUAUAAGACUAGGAGGCAGGAGAGGCAAGCGGUACUCAGUGGGUAGGGGUAAAAUCCGUUGAUCCAUUGAAGACCACCAGUGGCAAAGGCGGCUUGCCAGAAUGCGCUCGACGGUGAGGGAUGAAAGCUGGGGGAGCAAACCGGAUUAGAUACCCGGG